GCCCGCAUGGCUCAGCGGAAGAGCGCCGCUCUCACACAGCGGAGGCCCCAGGUUCGAUCCCUGGUGCGGGCA
rnacentral:tRNA from 1 species